GACAGAGGGUGCAAACGUUGUUCGGAUUUACUGGGCGUAAAGCGCGUGUAGGCGGCCUUGCAAGUUGGAUGUGAAAGCCCACGGCUCAACCGUGGAAGCGCAUCCAAAACUGCAUCGCUCGAGUCUCGGAGAGGAAGGUGGAAUGCUUGGUGUAGAGGUGAAAUUCGUAGAUAUCAAGCAGAACACCUGCGGCGAAGGCGGCCUUCUGGACGAUGACUGACGCUGAGGCGCGAAAGCGUGGGGAGCGAACAGG
rnacentral:rRNA from 1 species